ensembl:lncRNA
CUUCAUCCUCACUCCCCCAUUCAGGUGCUGUUCGACAAGUGAUGGCGUGGCUCCCGUCAGAAAGUAGGUGGGGAAACCCAGAAGGGUAGGGAAAAAACAGGCUCUGGAGGGAAGAAGAAAUAAAAUUACACCCUACAGCGUGUGGUGCGUUUUUGUGAGAAAUCUCACACUGGUCCCCACAGGGGUGGUACUGUCUACACUGCCAGCAACAGUGUAGACGAGUCCCUGCCGUAAAUCCACGUGCCAGGCCCUGCUCACCCUGCUGCCCUCAUUCACCUCUGCUCACUCUGCAGACACCGUGGAGGCCUCACGGGGCCCUGUGUGCACUGUGGGCCUCCCUCCCCUGCUGUAACUUGGGAGCGGAACAGAGAGCCCUGGGAGCCUGAGCUCUGACAGCCUUCUCCUGGGAGCCUGACCUCGGGUCACACUGACAGUCACUCAGCCCAGGCGGGACACGCUCCCCUCGGGUUGGCAGAAGCCACUGCUCCUCCUGGCAAGGUCACUGGGCUUCCCACAUCACCGGAGUCCAGGUCAGUGCCCACCUGCCCUUUCCUUUGGGCAGGAGCAGAGUCCAAGAAAACUGGCCACUGUUGGAAAGUCACUAUUUUUUUCGGAUUUUUAAAACAGCAAUACAUAGGUUUUGUAGAAUUCAAAAUACAGGACACUGGAAAGUGUAAAUAAUUUUCACUUCUUCAUUCUCACCAUGCAGGUAAUUUAUAUAACGUUAUGUAUAAAUAGCCUUCCAGUUGUUUAUGUAUAUAGAUAUUUUUAAUCAUCAUAAAUAUUCCUACUAACAAUAUUCUUCUAUUUGUCCCUAGGUGACUAAAAAAAUCAGUAACAUGUUUCAUGUAGUUCUCCAUCAUUUUUCUUUUUUGGUACCGGGGAUUGAACUCGGGUCCUUGCACUUGCGAGGCAGGCAGCAGAACCACUGAGCUAAAUCCCCAGCCCUCCCCGUCAUUUUUCUUUCAGUACUGAGGACUGAACUCAGGGCCCUCACACUGAGUCACACCCCACCCCCCAGCCCUUUUUUUUGUUUUUUAUUUUCCCAAGUUGCUAAUUGGCCCAGGCUGGGCUUGAACUUGCAACCCUCCUGCCUUAGCCUCCCCAAAUUCUGGGAUUGUAGGCAGACACCACCACACCUGGCCAUCAGUCAUGUUUGACUGCUGUAUUGUAGUCUGGGGGUGGGGCUUGAAAGGCCCACAUAGAAGACACCUGAGGCUUUGUGGCUACACGGUCUGUCACAGCCCCCUCCAGGAACCUCCCUCCCCACAGGGCGGGCUCAAGCUGCAGGUGUCACCUUUGGAGCCAGAGUUGGAGAAAGUCUAUUCUGUUGCUGCUUGGCCUUUCCCAGGGUCAAGGGUAAGCCACCCUUGCCAUUGUCCAGGAAUAUUCCUCGUGUGUCGAGCAGGCUUUUCCCCCGGCUUUUCUAUGAGGACCAACGCUGUGGAGAUUCACCUUCGACUCCUCCAGCGAGCCUGUUCCCCAUGCCAUGGACUCCAUGUCUGGAAGUGAACCCUCCCCAGCCCGGUCACCUCCGCCCAGCCCUCCUGUGCUGAGAAUCGGGCUCUUGUCUGGACUGCAGAUAGGGGAGUCCUAAGACGUUUGUCCUUUCGUCCUGGCUCGUUCUGCUCAGCAGUGUCUGCAGGUCCAUCCACAUGUGUGUGUGUGUGUGUGUGUGUGUGUGUGUGUGUGUGUGUGUGUGAGAAAUACACUUCAUUUGACUUUCCGUCCAUCCGCUGAUGAGCACUAAGGUGGUUUCUCACAGCUUCGUGAGAACAAUGGAAUCUGAGGAGCUGACUCUGGGUUUCGCCUCACCGGGGACAUGGGGAGUGCAUUGCUGAGCCAGGUGACAGUCGUGGUGUGACUCUCCAAGGAAGCUCCAAACUUUCGCACAGCAUCUGGGCCAGGAGGAAGCGGCCCCAGUGCCCGAGGCUCCUGCUCCUGUCUUCCAGAAUGACCCGUGGCCAGCUGUCCGAGGAGGACAAGGUAAUGCUUCUGCCAAAACGACCAUCCGUGGACUCACAGAAUGCUUCAUCCACCAUCAUGGAAUUCCUCACAACUUUGCCUCUGACCAAGGAGCACAUUUUACAGCAAAGAGUUUGGGCAGAAUUGUUUCUGUAUUUCUCGGGAUGGAACCUAGCAACUCAUGCAUGCCAGGCGGGCAUCUACCGCUGAGCUGCACCAGCUGGGCAGUUUCAUGUAAGCAGCUCCGGCAGCGUGUUUGGUUUCUUCUUUCGUGUAGCGGAACAACUGUUAACACCUGUUUCUGCUUUUGCGCAUCAAUCUUUUCUCUCAUUUUGUUUUGUUUUUUUUUGAGAUAGGGUCUUGCUCUGUAUUCCAGGAGGAUCCUGUCAAGUUCAAGGCCAGCCUGGGGCACACAGCAAAGCCCUGUCUCAGAAAAAAAGUGCUUGAAGAACAUAACUUGUGGUUUUAACAAGUACUCUGAAACUAAAUAAAUUUAAGACCACCUUUUGAAAAAUAAAAGAAACAGUACUACCAGUUUUGAAAAGGCUGUUAGUGUCACUGUGGUUUAUUGGUAAAUACAAAGUAUAGGCUCUUGCAGGUUUGGUUUUUUUUAAAAGCAAAACGAAAAAGAUUAAAAACCAAGUACACAUAUCCUCUUUCAAAUAGAAAUGUAAAUUAGUUUUAACAUUUAGGCACUUAAAAUGUAAAUGUAAGACAGCACUGCAAAAGUAUAAACUAGUUAGACCCCUAGUUUCCUCCUGAAAUGUCUUCCCAGAAGCAAAAGCACAAGCAAGGACACUAUAGUGCUAAACAAGGGUAAUUUCCUUUAACAACAAUAACCUGAAUGCAAGGUGCUGUGGGCAGGAGGAAAGGAGUUUCGGAAAUGUACAUAUUUGGUUAAAAGGUAAGCAUUUAAUAAAACUAUUACAAUAACAUACAGCACAUAUCUUAAUGAAAAUAUAUGUCAGGAAAAUAAUGAAUCCUAAACUUAAAAUUUUACUUCAUAACAAGGCACUUAACACAUUGAAACAGUACAGUAAGUUUCCAAAACAAAGUAAUUGCCCCCGGCCCGCUAACUUUGUGACAAUAUUUCUUUUGUGAAUAUGCUGUACCCCAGCCGUAUGUUCUGGAUCCAUUAUCGCAGAGGAGGUAAAUUACAUAGUGAGUUCCAACUUGGAAGCAAGACUGGCUUAUGUGUACAGCUUCUUCUAAAGGGCAAUUAAAAAUAAUUCCAUAGUAAAGUGCUCUUCUCCUUAAUGAUUCACUUAGGACACAAAGUUAGAUUAAUGAAUAAUAAAACAAACCUGGACUUAUAAGGUGUCUACCUGUAUAAAAACUCCUCUUUGGGUACAUUUGACACGAUUUUCAGUGUCUGGAUAUUGAAGACAAGAGCACUUCAUAAUAAAGGAAAUAUUUUUACCAGUGGAGUCAAAGGAGUUAAAUUAUUGCAACAUAAUGACAUUAAAAGCAAAAAUACCAGCAGCUCUUUAUACAAACAGAAUAUGUGGCAUAUAAAUUAUAAUCUGCUUGAUUUAAACAUGUAAACUCAUUAAGAAAUUCCUCCUCACACCUCUUUUACACUAUAGAAGUGAGGGUGUUAAGACCAGCUUCAAAUCUUUAAUCAGUUUACAGUACAAAACAAAAAUUAUGCCAAAAGAAAAAAGAAAUGUUCAACAUAUUCAAGGAACAAGAUGUGAAUUUUCGGUUUAAAAACAAAGUCUAUGACGUCUAGCAUGUAAAUUAAAAAAAAAAAAAGUAAGAAAGACAGCUGGCAGGGAUUCCCAGCAAACAGGUGUCGGUGGGCAUAAGGAGGCAUCAAUUAUUGAGACCCUGAGAGGUAACCACGGUAGGCACGUUUUCCUUCAUCGAACGGAUAAAAGGCCAGAAUCACAAGUCACUACCAUCCGAGAACAUUUCCCCUUUGAGAAGGGUUUAAAAUGUCUUUAAAAUAAUUCCUUCCCCAG